GACGAACGCUGGCGGCGUGCCUAAUACAUGCAAGUCGAACGAAGUGGCGAACGGGUGAGUAACGCGUACUCAACCUGCCCUUCAGAGGGGGACAACAGUUGGAAACGACUGCUAAUACCGAAUCCUGAAGGAGGGGAUUGCGUCUGAUGAGUUAGUUGGAGGGGUAACGGCCCACCACGGCGAUGAUCAGUAGCCGGUCUGAGAGGCUGAACGGCAAAAUUGGGACUGAGACACGGCCCAGACUCCUACGGGAGGCAGCAGUGGGGAAUCUUCCGCAAUGGACGAAAGUCUGACGGAGCAACGCCGCGUGAGUGAUGACGGCCUUCGGGUUGUAAAGCUCUGUUAAUCGGGACGCGGUACCGGAAUAGAAAGCCACGGCUAACUACGUGCCAGCAGCCGCGGUAAUAC
rnacentral:rRNA from 1 species